rnacentral:lncRNA from 1 species
AGUCUAGGGUCUAUGGAAUCACACAGCAAAAUCACUAUCCUGAUAGCAAUAAUGCAAGCUAAUGCACAACUACUCACAUUUAUCCCAUUCCAGUAUAUCCUUACAAACUCCCUGUUGUCAACUUAAUAGCUACACCAUUUUGCUCAUACUUCAUUUUCCAAUAGAUCCUUCCCUGGAAUCUUUCCAUUAACCUUCCUAGCUACCAAUAAUAUAAAGCUGCUUAUCCAGAACCACCCAAUCCAUGUUCAUUAACCCAUUCAAAUUAAAACACCACGGAUGCUGCUUUUUACACACUUAACUAGCACUGGCAAGGCAAACUCCUUUGUUGAAGUUCCUCAAAUGUACUACUCUACUUAGAGAAAUUAGUUACUGGUACAUUUAUUCAAGCCUAACUGAUAAGGGAUCUAAAGAAAAACAUAUAAGGAUAUUGCAUCUAUAGAUAUGGAACACUGAAAAGAUAUUGCUUUAUUACGUACAACUGGGGUUAGCUUUCUAAGGAUGAUGGGCAAAGUUUUAUAUUUUUAUAUUAUGUCUGGGCUAUCGUCAGCAAAUUAUACAUCAGGAGUCCUCGCUAUAUGCAUUGUUGUUUCAACUAAAACACAAAACCAAAAAACAACCCUAAACCCCAAGCCGCUGACACUAUAAUAUUAUCAAGGAAAGCAAAUCUUACAAAUAGUACAAAUCUCUAGUAAGUUUAUUGCAUAGAAAUCUAUAAGAACAACAGUUAAUAAUCUAGAACCACAUAAUCACCUAAAUACCAAUAUAAAUCGAAUAAAUCAAAAGUCGCAAAUACUAUAAAAGUCGAUAAACAGAGCCAAAAGAGACCGAAAGGAGCUACCUUGGUGGUGUAAACCUUGUCCCCAUUCUCAUUUAUGUAGAAUUGAAGAUACAUGGCCCCGUCAAAUGCUAAACUCUGCAAAAAUCCGAUAGUCGCAACAUUAAUAAUAAUAAUAAUAAUAAUAAUAAUAAUAAUAAUAAUAAUAAUAAUAAU